GUGCGCGUGUGUGAGAGACCCUUCUGUGGUGUGAGUUUGACUCAAAGUUAAUGUUUGAAUAAUUUUGCUGUCGGUCCUGAUGGAUGUUAUGAAGUGGUUUGGCUGACGAGACAAACUGGCGGAAAGCGGUUCACAAGAAAACAUCCUGCGUGGUUCUGUCAAUGAAGGUGGCGCCAAUUCCAGAUGAACCACCAAGACAAGGACACACUUACACAGGAGGAAUUAGAAAGUACCAAAGACUGUCGUUCGUGGUUUCCUGGCAGAGACUGGCUGGAAUAGAUUUUCGUGUGGAAGCAGUUCAUUCACACUCAAGUGGAGCAGGCAACUAAAACUAAUGUUAACACAUGACAAGGCCAUGUCAAGUGUGCUGGUGGCAGUGAAUCUCGCUUUAACAUUUGGUGAUUCUACUGCCACUUGUGAAAACUCGUUUUCAACUUGACACACAGACAUGCCCACGCUUCGUACACAAAAAGCCCAGAACAUGCAGCCAACGCCAAGUGUCAGGGUGCAAGGAAACGACCGUGAGGAGACUCAGCGCCACGACUCGAGUUCAGCUCUUCUGAAGGUUAUAUUCAAGAGCAAGUUCAGGCCCAUAAAAAUGUCCAGAUUGGAGAGGAGAGAACACAGAUGAAACAUGAAGAGGGGCAAAUGAAUCCUGGAUGAAGGGUCCCCUAUUUGUCAAGCAACAGUGUAAGGUGGUGUGUGGUCUAAAUCCAUUGUUUGCUGACACAGUUACA